rnacentral:rRNA from 1 species
AUUGAACGCUGGCGGCAGGCCUAACACAUGCCAGUCGAGCGAGCGGCGGACGGGUGAGUAAUGUAUGGGGACUGCCCGAUAGAGGGGGAUAACUACUGGAAACGGUAGCUAAUAACGCAUACUAUCGGAUAACCCAUAUGGGAUUAGCUAGUAGGUGAGGUAAUGGCUCACCUAGGCGACGAUCCCUAGCUGGUCUGAGAGGAUGAUCAGCCACACGGGGACGGAGACACGGCCCAGACUCCUACGGAUGCAGCAGUGGGUAAUAUUGCACAAUGGGCGCAAGCCUGAUGCAGCCAUGCCGCGUGUAUGAAGCAGGCCCUAGGGUUGUAAAGUACUUUCAGUCGGGAGGCGUUACCGACAGAAGAAGCACCGGCUAACUCCGUGCCAGCCGCCGCGGUAAUAC